AGAGUUUGAUCCUGGCUCAGAUUGAACGCUGGCGGAACGCUUUACACAUGCAAGUCGAACGGUAACGCGGAGAGAAGCUUGCUUCUCUCCGGCGACGAGUGGCGAACGGGUGAGUAAUACAUCGGAACGUGUCCGCUCGUGGGGGACAACCAGCCGAAAGGUUGGCUAAUACCGCAUGAGUUCUACGGAAGAAAGAGGGGGACCCGCAAGGGCCUCUCGCGAGCGGAGCGGCCGAUGACUGAUUAGCCGGUUGGUGAGGUAACGGCUCACCAAAGCAACGAUCAGUAGCUGGUCUGAGAGGACGACCAGCCACACUGGGACUGAGACACGGCCCAGACUCCUACGGGAGGCAGCAGUGGGGAAUUUUGGACAAUGGGCGCAAGCCUGAUCCAGCUAUUCCGCGUGUGGGAUGAAGGCCCUCGGGUUGUAAACCACUUUUGUAGAGAACGAAAAGACACCUUCGAAUAAAGGGUGUUGCUGACGGUACUCUAAGAAUAAGCACCGGCUAACUACGUGCCAGCAGCCGCGGUAAUACGUAGGGUGCGAGCGUUAAUCGGAAUUACUGGGCGUAAAGGGUGCGCAGGCGGUUGAGUAAGACAGAUGUGAAAUCCCCGAGCUUAACUCGGGAAUGGCAUAUGUGACUGCUCGACUAGAGUGUGUCAGAGGGAGGUGGAAUUCCACGUGUAGCAGUGAAAUGCGUAGAUAUGUGGAAGAACACCGAUGGCGAAGGCAGCCUCCUGGGACAUAACUGACGCUCAGGCACGAAAGCGUGGGGAGCAAACAGGAUUAGAUACCCUGGUAGUCCACGCCCUAAACGAUGAAUACUAGGUGUCGGGG
rnacentral:rRNA from 1 species